GUGAUGGGUCGCCCCACCGCGGCGCCAAACGCAAGAAUGGUGACGAGGAAAGUCCGGGCAACGCAGAGCACCCUGCUUCCUAACGGGAAGGACCGGGCGGCGUAAAGCUUCCCGGGACAGCCAGUGCCACAGAAAAGUACCGCCGGACGGUGAUUUAGCGAAUUAGUGAGUUGUCGUUCUGAAAAACUCACCAAAUCACUAAGUCGCUAACUCACCUUUGGUAAGGGUGAAAAGGUGCGGUAAGAGCGCACCAGCGGCUGGGUGACCAGUCCGGCUGGGUAAACCUCAGGGGUUGAAAGACCAAAUAAGCUGGCACGCCGGCCCUUUAGGGGGCGGGCACCGGGCGGCUCGUCCGGCGCCAGCGGGUAGGUUGAUGGAGCCUUUCCGCGAGGACUGGCCUAGAUAAAUGGUGGGGCCGCAGCUUCGGCAGCGGACAAAACCCGGCUUACAGACUCAUCACCGGC
rnacentral:RNase_P_RNA from 1 species